rnacentral:lncRNA from 1 species
UAAUUUUAUUAAAUGGACGCAGACUCCGGGGUGUCUGCUAGUGGGGACCGUGCAGGCAAAGGAUAUCUCACUUUGCAGCUUGGCCCACGGACCACCUCUGCCUGUCCUGAUUGCCUGCUAGUGGGGACCGUGCAGGCAAAGGAUGCCUCACUUUGGAGCUUGGCCCACGGACCAUCUCUGCCUGUCCUGUUUGCUCCUCCCCCUCUCUCUCUUUCUCUCUCUCUCCAUCUCUGUGCACACCUGUGUGCAUGCACAUGCAUGUGGGAACCUCCCUCUCCACCCACACCCACCCACACCCCACUGCUUCUCCUGCUGCUUUUCCUUUCUAGACCCAACACCUGUGGAGAAGCCUGCUGCCCCGGCUGGGCCCUGGCGCCCAAGACGGCCAAGUGCACGAAAGCUGUCUGCACGCCUCGGUGCCGGAAUGGGGGCCAGUGCAAAGCCCCCCAGCGCUGCACCUGCCCGGCGGGCUUCACGGGUCCUCGCUGUGAGCACUCUGUCGCCACCACUGCUGCUCCCGCCACCCCAACCCAGCUCCCCAGGGCUCCCCUGGAAGCAGUGGCCAUUCGCUGGCAGCCCUUGACGUGAGUGGGAAGGGGCGGGAGGAAAGAGGCUGCCUGACUCCCUCUUCCCGCAUACAUCCCCGAGGGGACCCCUUAGCUUGCUUGGGGUGCCCCCCAGGGGAAGGAGGAGAGGAGGCACUCUUGUAUGGGCUGCUCAGGGAAGGUUCUGCUGGGAAACAUUGGCAAACAAACCCAGAGACUACGAAGGACGGUUUUUGGAGCCGACCGGUAAACGGAACAACCAGGUGCCAAGACUGGGUAGCCUUCGCCUGCGGAGUUCUAAACAAACUUGGAAGGGAAGUGCUGCCUGUUUAAAGGAAAACGUGUGGCUUAUUGCUACCAUCUGCUGCUUGGCCGGAGGACUGGGUACGUGGGCUGCUCAUGUACUCGGGACAGGCAGGCACCUCACCCCAACAUUUCUGGGUCUGCUCCCUGUCCCUGUUGCAAGCUGUCCUUGAGUGAACAUUAGCCAGUGGAAGGGGCCCUUCCUGGCCUUUUCAGCAGGGAAAGGGGGGGGUUCCUACCCUGUGACAUCACAGACUCCUAACUCUUAACCCUUUCUCACAGGCUUGCUGAACUCCAGGUGGUGCUUCAGAGGCGCAAGGCUUUGGGUCCUUCAGAGAAGAUGGCCACGAUCCUGGCACAGCACCUGGCUUCCCGACCCGAUGGCGGUAGCAACGGCCCUCCCGGACACGGACCCCCAGCCACACGAAGGCCCCAUGGUACAGGGUACAGGGUGAGGGGCAAGGCCCAGGGCAGUGGGGAGUGGGCUUAGGGGGUGUCAGAGAGGAUGCGGGGGGGCCCCUGCUCUGUUAGGUAAAGGCGAGCAAGAGGGACACGGCCAAACAAGAUUUCUUGGGAGCUGUGUAGAUGCUUCUUCUUCAAGGUGGA